UGGGAAUUUGGACAAUGGGCGAAAGCCUGAUCCAGCAAUGCCGCGUGUGUGAAGAAGGCCUUCGGGUUGUAAAGCACUUUUGUCCGGAAAGAAAUCCUUGGCUCUAAUACAGUCGGGGGAUGACGGUACCGGAAGAAUAAGCACCGGCUAACUACGUGCCAGCAGCCGCGGUAAUACGUAGGGUGCAAGCGUUAAUCGGAAUUACUGGGCGUAAAGCGUGCGCAGGCGGUUUGCUAAGACCGAUGUGAAAUCCCCGGGCUCAACCUGGGAACUGCAUCGGUGACUGGCAGGCUAGAGUAUGGCAGAGGGGGGUAGAAUUCCACGUGUAGCAGUGAAAUGCGUAGAGAUGUGGAGGAAUACCGAUGGCGAAGGCAGCCCCCUGGGCAAGUACUGACGCUCAUGCACGAAAGCGUGGGGAGCAAACNGGAUUAAUNCCCUGGUAGUCCACGCCCUAAANGAUGUCAACUAGUUGUUGGGGAUUCAUUUCCUUAGUAACGUAGCUAACGCGUGAAGUUGACCGCCUGGGGAGUACGGUCGCAAGAUUAAAACUUAAAU
rnacentral:rRNA from 1 species